rnacentral:lncRNA from 1 species
CAAACGUUUCCACACAUCAGUGAGUAGCAGCACCGCAAUAUUUACUCGACGGCACGCUCUGUGGGCCUAGAAAAUGCCUUGACGUUCGAGCACUUCGGGAGCUAUACCGGCGGACAGCCGGAUGCGGGUAGCUUGGCCGUUCCUUGCUCUGCGCAUCGCUUGAAAACCGGCGGUCAUCCUGCACUGUACGCUACCAGCGUGCUUUCUUGCCAGAGCCGCCUCCCCUGCUGGUGAUGACCAUAUGCAGCCAAUGCUGAUGUGAACCCGAGUGAUGAACAAAUGCAGAUCUGCAAAGGAGCUGUCCUGAGGCGCCAUGCUUACUCAAGUCAUGCAGCGAGAGUCAGCAUGCCUGGAAAAGUACUUCAAAGCAGACCCCAUCUGGCUGACGCACUACCUCAAGAAAACUGCCUUUCUCCCAUCCGCAAGUUCCUAAGAAGUUACUUUAUGAAGCAAGCCAGCAGGGCGUACGUGUAAGGCAUGGCAGCACGGAGAACAAAUAAACAUGAGUAUUUGGUGCCAGAUGCAUUCAUUGAUUCCGUGCUGCAUCAACAUGUGGCUGCAUGCUUGGCCACGUGUAGACACAGCAAGUAAACUCGUUAACCUCAAUGGUAAAAGGUUGUCUAUAAUCAUGUUAAGAAGCACGAUGUCUUAUUUUUGUAAAUAAUUGCAUAGCUCGACUUUGACUCAGGCGUCCAACACCCA